GGAUUCAAAGCAGCAUUGGCAUCAGUGACAAUAUUAAUGCCUAUUGCAAAAACCAUGUAUAUAGCAGGAAUUGGAGCUCCACUGAAUCUGUAGAGUCCCAAAAGUAAGUGCCAACCCUAAAGGGCAAGGCAAUUGGCUGUGAGCUCAAUAGAGAAAUGGGGAUUUCCAUUACCCUAGAUCUGCCCUCUCUAUCUAAUUAGAUCAUCUUAGUUGUGAAUAAAAAGGAAGAAAAUGACGAAGAAGCAGAAGAAAAUAUUGGAAAGUAUC
rnacentral:misc_RNA from 1 species